AGAGUUUGAUCCUGGCUCAGGAUGAACGCUAGCUACAGGCUUAACACAUGCAAGUCGAGGGGAAACGACAUCGAAAGCUUGCUUUUGAUGGGCGUCGACCGGCGCACGGGUGAGUAACGCGUAUCCAACCUGCCCACCACUUGGGGAUAACCUUGCGAAAGUAAGACUAAUACCCAAUGAUAUCUCUAGAAGACAUCUGAAAGAGAUUAAAGAUUUAUCGGUGAUGGAUGGGGAUGCGUCUGAUUAGCUUGUUGGCGGGGUAACGGCCCACCAAGGCAACGAUCAGUAGGGGUUCUGAGAGGAAGGUCCCCCACAUUGGAACUGAGACACGGUCCAAACUCCUACGGGAGGCAGCAGUGAGGAAUAUUGGUCAAUGGACGAGAGUCUGAACCAGCCAAGUAGCGUGAAGGAUGAAGGUCCUACGGAUUGUAAACUUCUUUUAUAAGGGAAUAAACCCUCCCACGUGUGGGAGCUUGUAUGUACCUUAUGAAUAAGCAUCGGCUAACUCCGUGCCAGCAGCCGCGGUAAUACGGAGGAUGCGAGCGUUAUCCGGAUUUAUUGGGUUUAAAGGAAGCGUAGAUGGAUGUUUAAGUCAGUUGUGAAAGUUUGCGGCUCAACCGUAAAAUUGCAGUUGAUACUGGAUAUCUUGAGUGCAGUUGAGGCAGGCGGAAUUCGUGGUGUAGCGGUGAAAUGCUUAGAUAUCACGAAGAACUCCGAUUGCGAAGGCAGCCUGCUAAGCUGCAACUGACAUUGAGGCUCGAAAGUGUGGGUAUCAAACAGGAUUAGAUACCCUGGUAGUCCACACGGUAAACGAUGAAUACUCGCUGUUUGCGAUAUACAGCAAGCGGCCAAGCGAAAGCGUUAAGUAUUCCACCUGGGGAGUACGCCGGCAACGGUGAAACUCAAAUGAAUUGACGGAA
rnacentral:rRNA from 1 species